CCAAAGGCUCUUUUCAGAGCCACCCAUUUAGACUAGAAAAGAGCUG
rfam:Meleagris gallopavo isolate NT-WF06-2002-E0010 breed Aviagen turkey brand Nicholas breeding stock chromosome 1, whole genome shotgun sequence.